UGCCCGAAAGGGUGACGAAGCGACGCCGCGUGGGUGAGGAAGGCCUUCGGGUUGUAAAGCCCUGUCAGGAGUUAAGAAAUGUAGACUCGCUAAUAUCGGGUCUAUUUGACAAAGGCUCCAAAGGAAGCCACGGCUAACUCUGUGCCAGCAGCCGCGGUAAUACAGAGGUGGCAAGCGUUGUUUGGAAUUAUUGGGCGUAAAGAGCACGUAGGUGGAUUUGUAAGUCAGACGUGAAAGCCUUCUGUUCAACGGAAGAAUUGCAUCUGAAACUACAAACCUUGAGUGUAGGAGGGGAGAAUGGAACUCCUGGUGGAGCGGUGAAAUGCGUAGAUAUCAGAAGGAACGCCGGCGGCGAAAGCGAUUCUCUGGCCUAUUACUGACACUCAGUGUGCGAAAGCUAGGGGAGCAAACGGGAUUAGAUACCCCGGUAGUCCUAGCCGUAAACGAUGGGCACUAAGUAGAGGGG
rnacentral:rRNA from 1 species